CAACCUCCCCUGUGUUAAAAAAACUUCAACAAUAGGAUGAAGGUGAAUAGGGUACAUAGGGAUAACAGGUCCACUAUCUGAGACAAAUCAAGUUACUUAUUCAUAGUCACAGACUGUUUCACCUAAUGCUAAAACAGUGUGACCCAGUCUGAAGUGGAGGGUAGACAGAACUCACUCCUUUGUUUCUUGGCCAGAAAUUCUAUUUCAGUUGUAAAGAUAUUUCUUCAGUUUAUUGAAAUGGAAAUAUUGAACUUCUUCUGCUCUUCAGUAAAUUGUAGCAAUUAUGUUGAACACAGGAUUUCGAUCUGUAGUGUAACUAGAGUGAUAGGAACACUAUGCCUCAUGAGCCAUAAUGACUGCAUUCCAAAUGGAGACUGUGUACUGUAUACUGCCUGACAAAUAGAGUCCAAAGUAAAGAUCCAAUAUGGGAAAACACUGAGGCUGAAUACGGUGCUGUGAAGAGUGGAUGAGGCCGAAGUGAAGGGUGGAUGAGGCAGAAGUGAAGAGUGGAUACACCGAGGUGAAGGGUGGAUGAGGCUGAAGUGAAGGGUGGAUACACUGAGGUGAAGAGUGGAUGAGGCCGAAGUGAAGGGUGGGUACACAGAGGUGAAGGGUGGAUGAGGCUGAAGUGAAGGGUGGAUACACCAAGGUGAAGGGUGGAUGAGGCCGAAGUGAAGGGUGGGUACACUGAGGUGAAGGGUGGAUGAGGCCGAAGUGAAGGGUGGAUACACCAAGGUGAAGGGUGGAUACACCGAGGUGAAGAGAGGAUGAGGCCGAAGUGAAGGGUGGAUACACCAAGGUGAAGAGUGGAUGAGACCGAAGUGACGGGUGGAUACACUGAGGUGAAGGGUGGAUGAGGCCGAAGUGAAGGGUGGAUACACCGAGGUGAAGGGUGGAUACACCGAGGUGAAGGGUGGAUGAGGCCGAAGUGAAGGGUGGAUACACCAAGGUGAAGAGUGGAUGAGGCCGAAGUGAAGGGUGGAUACACCGAGGUGAACUGACCAACAAAUUGCCCAAAUUGAACCAGGCUCCUGAGACCCAAAUCUCAUUUGACCAACUGAAAAACACUUAAAAAAAUGCAGAAUGUAAACGAAACCCAACGAUGCCGGAGCGGAAGCUACUCCGGUUAGGGCAUAGGACUGUGUGGUGGAGCAGUGUGCCCUCUAAAGCUUCACACUUGUCACACAUGGAACUAGAUCCUCAUUAAUUUGACCUUUAAGCCCAACUGGGCCUUGAUGCAGUUUCUGGUGAAUGUUCUUUGUUGCUGAUGACAGUCAUGCUUAUAAGCCAUUCCCUUCCUAAUCCAUGAACACUUAAUGUUGUGUCCAGACUUUCCCUUGUCCCUGGUGGGGGUGAGGGUGGGGGACAAACCGGACAUUUAAAUGACUUGGUCCCUCGUCAUAGUGAAACUCCUUUCCCUGGAACCUGGAUUGGAACAAUGACCAAUAUGGUCCACAUUAUCGCAGGGUGACACAGGGGUCACUUUUUGCUGCUGGAGCGCAGGGCCUGAAAUAGUUUGUGCCUCUGAAGCGGACGCUAGAUGUAGCAGGAUCUGUUCUUGUUGUGAUUACCUGGCUCCAGAGCAAGGCCGGCCAUUCUCCCUGGACUUCUGGAAAUGACCUCUGCCAAGGGGCUGUGAUUAGCACAACCUCGGCCCACUCCGGCCCAUUCCUGGGUCAACACCCAGGGCCAUAAGAGGAAUUCCACAAUCAUUAGCCAGACAG
ensembl:lncRNA